AGAGGCUGAAUCAAUUCAAAUCUAGACAUUCUGGGACCUGGACCUGACUUCUUAACUAGAGCUUUUGACAUCUGCCCUUCUGAUAUCCAACUAAUGACUGGGACAUCACACAACUCAUUGAUCACCUCCUGGGCUGACUUUGACAUUGGGCAUCUGCAUCAUUUUUACUCGCUUGUUCAAGGUUUUCAUUUCAUUAUGCCCUAUCCCUGAGAGUGGACAAGAGGUCAGAGAAAUCAAUGAGUCCUAAGGGGUCGUCUAAGGUUGAGAGAUGCUGUCAGGAAGACAAGGAGUGGGUCAACAAGGGCAGGGGGGCAGAGAGUGAGAUAUUAACUGGCAAUGUGGAAUGAGUGCUUUUCUAAAAGGACUAAGAAACAUUUUCUCUAAGUGUUUUAUACUGUGAACUAGGUUAAGUCAGACAUGGGCUCUUAAAUUAGGGACAGAAGUUUGGUUUACUUCGUGUUCAGGGAUUUGAAAGAUUAUUUUCUCUGCUUUUUUCAAGUUGAUUAUGAUAAUUAAAAAAAAAAGGCAAGUUAGGAUACGGGGCUUCUCAGGCCAUGAUAAUACAAAGAAAUAGGCUUUUCUAUACAGUUGAUUUGAUUUCCUUCCCUCCUUCUCUUCCACUCUGCCACAUUAUCUCUUUUGAAACUGGAUUAUCAGAGCUUGUUUUCAGGUUCAAUCCCAUUAACUCCAAUUUUCUUCUUUUAGUUGUAGGUGCCAGGCAGUCUCUGAGGAGUUGUUGAUAGAUGAAGAAAGAGUCCUGUUCACAACCAAGAAAGCAAGGACUUCUGGGAAUUUGGGAAAUAAUGAAAUUUGGUUCCGUAUGAUGUUCAUAGACAAAUGCAAUGGUAACUAAGGAUGUGUCACUGCUUUAUAUUAAAAUGCAUCAUUUCUUUGCUUUUAACCGAGGGGUGUUUCUUGUAGGAUAUGCUAAUUCCAAGACAGAUAAUCAUAAUAAAAUUUUGUCAAAUGCCACAGCUGAGAGAGUUCCUAUAAAACAAAUGAAGGUUCUCACUAGCCCAUUGUCAUUCAGGCAUGUUCUCUAAGUCCUGCUCCUCAACCUCAGUUUUGGUGGAUGACUUGGGCUGAACACAUCCACGUGCCUGUUGAAUAGUGACAUAGCUUCUUCGGGGUUUCAGUUUCUUUAUCUACAAAAUAAGGAUAUUAGUAGUGCUCUUUCAGAGGGUAGUUUUGAAGAGAAAAUGAGAUAAUCUAUGUCAAGUAAUGACAUACAGGUAAUACUCCCCUGAUAAAUGAUAGGUAUUAUUACUACUAUUGUCAGUGAACAUAAGUGAGGCCAUCUUGUUACACUAAAUGACCCCAGCCCCUCCCCUCUGUGUGACUACUCGCUGCUCUGCACAUAUAAAAAAUUCACAUGCUCUCCUGAUUUAUGGUCUCCGCUUACAUAUGUACUCCCUUAUAGCUUGAUAAUUUAAAACUUUCUUCUAUGAAUUUCUCUCUAG
rnacentral:lncRNA from 1 species